rnacentral:rRNA from 1 species
GACGAACGCUGGCGGCGUGCUUAACACAUGCAAGUCGAGCGGGUAAGGCCCGUUUCGGGGGUACACGAGCGGCGAACGGGUGAGUAACACGUGGGUGACCUGCCCUUAGCUCUGGGAUAAGCCUGGGAAACUGGGUCUAAUACCGGAUAUGACUCCAUAACGCAUGUUGUGGGGUGGAAAGCCUUGUGCGGCUAGGGAUGGGCCCGCGGCCUAUCAGCUUGUUGGUGGGGUGAUGGCCACCAAGGCGACGACGGGUAGCCGGCCUGAGAGGGCGACCGGCC